rfam:Zea mays cultivar B73 chromosome 3, whole genome shotgun sequence.
AUAUCUUUCUCGACAUUUUGGCUAAGAUAAAGUGUAAUAUUUGUUUUUAUCAGUUUAAUAUUUGAUAUGUGAAUCGUAUAUUCAUUAUAAUAUUAAACUUUUUUAUCAAAUAUGAUUGUGUGUCGUCGCAUGCAUUAAAAGUAAUUUUGUUGUGCGGGUAGAUUUUAAGUGGACAUCUUCAUGGUAUACUCGAUC